ACAGCAGUCGCCACGGGAAUACGUAGGGUGCAAGCGUUAAUCGGAAUUACUGGGCGUAAAGGGUGCGUAGGCGGGUUUUUAAGUCAGGGGUGAAAUCCUGGAGCUCAACUCCAGAACUGCCCUUGAUACUGGGAAUCUUGAGUAUGGGAGAGGUGAGUGGAACUGCGAGUGUAGAGGUGAAAUUCGUAGAUAUUCGCAAGAACACCAGUGGCGAAGGCGGCUCACUGGCCCAUAACUGACGCUGAGGCACGAAAGCGUGGGGAGCAAACAGGAUUAGAUACCCCAGUAGUCCCUGUCUCUUAUAC
rnacentral:rRNA from 1 species